AUACGGAGGUUGCAAGCGUUAUUCGGAAUCACUGGGCGUAAAGGACGCGUAGGCGGGUUUGUAAGUCAGGUGUGAAAUCCUACAGCUUAACUGUAGAACUGCACUUGAAACUACAGACCUAGAGUAUGGGAGGGGCAGAUGGAAUUAGUGGUGUAGGGGUAAAAUCCGUAGAUAUCACUAGGAAUACCGAAAGCGAAGGCGAUAUGCUGGAACAUAACUGACGCUAAGGCGUGAAAGCGUGGGGAGCAAACAGGAUUAGAAACCCUAGUAGUCC
rnacentral:rRNA from 1 species